UACGUAGGGGGCAAGCGUUGUCCGGAUUUAUUGGGCGUAAAGAGCGUGUAGGCGGCCAAGCAGGUCCGCUGUGAAAACUCGAGGCUCAACCUCGAGACGUCGGUGGAAACCGUUUGGCUAGAGUCCGGAAGAGGAGAGUGGAAUUCCCGGUGUAGCGGUGAAAUGCGCAGAUAUCGGGGAAGAACACCCGUGGCGAAGGCGGGACUCUGGGCCGAUACUGACGCUGAGGAGCGAAAGCGUGGGGGAGCGAACAGG
rnacentral:rRNA from 1 species